rnacentral:lncRNA from 1 species
GUUGCCAGCAUGGGUGGAGAGCUCUGCUGGAGAGCAAGGAGGGAAGCUGCACGCAGUCCCCUGCAAAUGCUGUAAAGAGCGGUCAGAGGUCCCCCUAUCAACUGCAGCCCAGCUGCAGCAAGACAGCCUGCUCCCAGUGGCCUUGGCUCCCACAGAUGCACGAGAACCAGGCUGGCUGUGUGCUCCAGGUGGAGGAACAAAGGAGCCUUUCAUCUGCUCCUGCAGAGCAGGCUGGUGGCCAGCCCCUGUGUGGUGCCUGGUUCCCUCUGCUGCAGCAGGGAGGUGGGAGCAAGCAGAGGAUGAAAAAUCAGAGUAAUGGCCGAGGAGACGAUAUCCACUUGACUUUUCUUGCCCACGGCGUGAGUGAUUAAUCUAUCGAAGGCAUUGCAGCGGAGUGAGACCACAAGGUUAGGCAGCCCGAAGCCUACGUGCUCCAGGAGCUGAGGAUGCUGCUGGACCGGCAGCCACAAGGAUCUCGGGCCGUUUCCUUGGAUCCCGAACUACCGAUGCCCCUUCUUGGCACCCAGCUCACCCCGUGACACCCGCUGCUGUCCCAGUGCCAGCGAGGGGAGAUUCCCAACCAAACUCUCACGGCGUCAGGAAGCAAAGAGGAUUUUCAGCCCUCCCAUCUAGCCGUGCGUCAGAUGGCAGCUCCGUGUGCCCACCUCUGGCCAGCUGGACCAAGCAUCUUCCUCUCCCGUGCUGACCUUUGCCGUGAGGUUGUGCGUGAAGAAAUGUGCCAAAAUGCCCUGUUGCCGUGGGAACCGAGGCCAAGAGAGGAGCGGGCAGCUUCUGCUAAUUGCCACAGCUCCUUGACCUCAGCUGCAAACCCCGCUGCACGAAACCACCCCAUGGAGCUCCAGCCCCAUCCAGCCCAGGUCUGGACGUCUCCUGUGAACCUGAGGUCGCCGUGGCUGUGUCCCUGGGGAGGUGAGGACAGCUUGAGGUCAGCCUCCGGCCCCAGGAGGAGAGGACAAGGGAGAAAAGUCUGGGACUGUGAGGUUGAAAGAGCUUAUAGAAGGAUAAGAUGCCUACAGUGCCGCUCUGACCCUCGUCUGUGCCUCUUCCCUGCAGCCUCCCCAUGGUUGCCUCUGCUCCGCUGCCACCGCACCUCUUCAGCACCCUGGGCCGAGGUAAGCCAAGAGGCAGGGCGCCUCUCCCCACUCUGUCUGACCCUUCUGUCCUUCUGUCCUUCUCCCUGCACCACCCCAGCAUGUGUGCCCCUCUCCGCCUCCCCUCUGGCGGGGUUGCCCUCUCCUCUGUCGCCGUUUUGCAACUCUGCAAACUUUGUCCCAGCGAUCCGCCGAGCGCGCGGGGAGGGAGGGAGCAGAGGAGGGGGGAGGUUCGCUGAUAAUUGA